rnacentral:lncRNA from 1 species
UUACUUUCUGUUCAGGAUCCUCCUGAAAAAUUAGAUUUUAAUCUCUAUUCAGGACCCUCCUGAAAUAUGGGAUUUUACUUUUUAUUCAGGACCCUCUUGGAUUUUAAUUUAUGUUCAGGACCCUCCUAAAAAAUAGAAUUUUAAUUUCUGGUCAGGACACUCCUGUAAAAUGGUCUUUUACUUUCUGUUUUGGACCCUCCUGAAAAUAGGAUUUUACUUUCUGUUCAGGACCCU